rnacentral:rRNA from 1 species
UGUAGGUGGAAGCAGCGGUGGAGGAGGAGGAUGAGGUAGCCAACACUUUUUUUUAUAUAUAUAUUUUUUAAUUGGGGUAGCCCCCAAAAUAUUGGGACAUAUAAAAAAUGACAACUCUGUUCUGCAGAGUAGCUGUUGACAUUAUAGUUGCGCAGGCACUUUGUUGACUCUAGAGAACCUCGGCCAAUCACACAUCCCUGUGACGGCGACUUUGCAUUCGGAUGUCAUCCAUAUCAACUUUCGAUGCCAGUUUCUGCGCGUACCAUGGUGACCACGGGUAACGGGGAAUCAGGUUUCCAUUCCGUACAGGGACCCUGAGAAACGGCUACCACAUGCAAGGAAGGCAGCA